rnacentral:rRNA from 1 species
UACGUAGGGGGCUAGCGUUGUCCGGAAUCAUUGGGCGUAAAGCGCGUGUAGGCGGCUCGGCAAGUCCGCUGUGAAAGUCGGGGGCUCAACCCUCGGAUGCCGGUGGAUACUGUCGGGCUAGAGUACGGAAGAGGCGAGUGGAAUUCCUGGUGUAGCGGUGAAAUGCGCAGAUAUCAGGAGGAACACCAAUUGCGAAGGCAGCUCGCUGGGACGUUACUGACGCUGAGAAGCGAAAGCGUGGGGAGCAAACAGG